GUGGGAGUGAAAUGAAAGGGAAAAUAAACCUCGUAGCGCCCCAUCCUGACCACACACACUCGCAGUCUACAUCGGAAUUGAGCCGUCACCGGUUCAACAACAGCUCCACUCCAGACUGAUAUUAUUUUCCCCUUGAAUGGGACGUCACGCCGUGGACCACGCCGUUGCAGGAUGUGUUUGCCACUUUGCCACGAGACCACCCGGUCCUGGUCGACUUCGUUGCCUUCGAGAAGGACUGUCCAAGGCUCACUGACAGCCACCGGUGGCCAACGUAAUGGGACCCGCGCAAGGAAUCGCACCUCAUCAAGCGUCAAUGUCAAUAUCUGCUGAACCUGGUCCGAUGGUCG